rnacentral:lncRNA from 1 species
CACAUCAUACUUCUUUAACGAUCUUUGAUCUUGCGCAACUUUAACCCAUGAGCGAUUCAAAACUGGUGUUGUCAACGUUUGGGAAUUGGUUGGGACCUCUUCCCUCUGCUCCGAGACGGCCAAGCCCUCCGACGGAGGCAUAGGCGGCGCCGGAAAAGGUGCCUUGAUGAAGCGGCAACUGAAAACCCUAAUCGCCAAAAAAUCCCCCUCAGAC